UCCAUUACCGCCUGUAAUAAUCGGCUUCUCCGUGAUGAUACACGCUCAGGCUAUCACAAUCUUCCGUGUUAAUUUAGCGACAUCAAAAAUACAAUAUUACGACUGGUCGUAUUAAUAGAUGAAGCACAAAAAUCGCACAGAUUUGUUGUUAUUCGCAUUGCCAAACUAGUGCGGUCGGUAUCUAUUAAUAUCUUAAACGUAAAACACGUCUCGCCAUCGUCGACUGCCGGAAUAGUUAUUAUAGUUCUUCUAUGUUCGGAAUCAAAGGGAUUGGCAUGUGUAUAAUGCUACGUAAAAACGAGAAGCGCCGGUGACGGUUGGGUAUACACACGG